rnacentral:rRNA from 1 species
UACAGAGGGGGCAAGCGUUGUUCGGAAUUACUGGGCUUAAAGGGCGCGUAGGCGGCCCGCUAAGUCGAACGUGAAAUCCCCGAGCUCAACUCGGGAACUGCGUCCGAUACUGGCGGGCUUGAAUCCGGGAGAGGGAUGCGGAAUUCCAGGUGUAGCGGUGAAAUGCGUAGAUAUCUGGAGGAACACCGGUGGCGAAGGCGGCAUCCUGGACCGGCAUUGACGCUGAGGCGCGAAAGCUAGGGGAGCAAACGGG